rnacentral:rRNA from 1 species
AUGAUGAGGGGAGCGAGGUGUGGGGCUGGCGAGGGACUGGCCUGCCAGAUUCGUCAGUGGCCGUUCAGGAUAGUUGCGGUGAUGCCGGGGGGGAGGGCAGCGGCGACAGCGCUCCAGCGGAGUCGGCGAGUCGGCGGUGAAGCCACAUCCGAAGGCGCCGGGGUGGAUUCAGAGGGGAAGCAUCUCCGUGAGAACACAAGGUCAUGUCGGUGCGAGUGUCCAGCGAUGAUCGGGCUGUUGAGGACAUCGGGUAAUGGGUGGUACAUAACGGAGCAUCGAGUAAAGCACAACUAUGUCAUGGCCCCUAACUGUGGUGAGAUGCUGCAUUGGCCAUCCCACAAGCACAUUGAUGUUUACACAAGGGAUCUGGCGAGGAACCUGCAGAAGAAUAACAUCAACAUCAGCAAAGUGUACAUCACAAUUGGAGGGUUCUUCGGGACGAUUGAAAAUGUGCCUUUCGCGAAGAGGGUGCUUUGGAACUUGUGCGGGAAAAUAGGUCGGGACGAGCCAGAUGAUGAUGUGAAGAAAACAAUUGAAGUGUUCAAUGAACUAGGUGCAAAGGACCCUGAUAUUUUGUUCCGGGUUCAGGCUGAUGGCGAGAGCAGGAUGAAAAAUCUAAUGUGGACAACAGGGCAUAGUAGGCUAAAGUACAAGUUCUUUGGUGAUGUUGUCACCUUCGACACCACAUAUCGGACAAACAUGUAUGACAUGCCAUUUUGGCUGUUUGUUGGGGUUAAUAAUCAUUUUCAGAGCAUCUUGCUGGGAGGGGUGCUGCUUAGGGAUGAAGAAGUAGAAAGCUUCGAGUGGGUUUUCACGGAGUUCCUUAGGAUGAUGGGUGGUGUGGCACCGAGAACCAUAUUGACGGAUCAGUGCAGAGCUAUGGAGGUAGCUAUAAAAACAACACUUCUGGAUACAGUCCACCGGUGGUGCAAAUGGCACGUCCUAAAGAAAGCAAAAGAAAGUCUUGGUGCUUUGUAUGGCAAGAGAACUGAAUUCAGGCAAGAGUUCCACAAGGUUGUCAAGACCAUGUUAACGGUGGAUGAGUUCGAAGAAGCUUGGGCACAUUUGAUCGAGAAAUACAACCUGAAGACCCACUCGUACAUGACUUAG